UCAGGUUCUUAUUAGGCUGUGCUCUGAAGUCAUCGUCCAGUUUUUCACUAUGAUGAUGAAGCAUGGUUACACUGGCAAAACUGAAAUCAUUGAUGAUCAAAGAGCUGCCCCACAGGCAGGCUAAACAAGUGUGGCGUGAUCAGCCCCAGAUUUGAUGUGCAACUCAAAGAUCUAGAAAAAUGGCAGAGUAAUCUUCUUCCAUCCCACCAGUUUGGUUUUAUUGUACUGACAACCUCAGCUAGCAUCAUAGACCAUGAAGAGGCAAGACAAAAACACACAGGAGGGAAAAUCCUGGCAUUCUUUUUC
rnacentral:lncRNA from 1 species